rnacentral:lncRNA from 8 species
AUGUCCUUAUCCCAGUUAAUUCCUAACCCUAACCCAGGCUUCAUGUCCACAUCCCAGUUCAACCCUAACGCUAGCUUCAUGUCCACAUCCCAGUUAAUUCCUAACCCUAACCCAGGCUUCAUGUCCACAUCCCAGUUAAUUCCUAACCCUAACCCAGGCUUCAUGUCCAGAUCCCAGUUAAUUCCUAACCCUAACCCAGGCUUCAUGUACACAUCCCAGUUAAUUCCUAACCCUAACCCAGGCUUCAUGUACACAUCCCAGUUAAUUCCUAACCCUAACUCAGGCUUCAUGUCCACAUCCCAGUUAAUUCCUAACCCUAACCCAGGCGUCAUGUCCACAUCCCAGUUAAUUCCUAACCCUAACCCAGGCUUCAUGUCCACAUCCCAGUUAAUUCCUAACCCUAACCCAGGCUUCAUGUACACAUCCCAGUUAAUUCCUAACCCUAACCCAGGCUUCAUGUCCACAUCAAAGUUCAACCCUAACGCUAGCUUCAUGUCCACAUCCCAGUUAAUUCCUAACCCUAACCCAGGCUUCAUGUACACAUCCCAGUUAAUUCCUAACCCUAACCCAGGCUUCAUGUCCACAUCCCAGUUCAACCCUAACGCUAGCUUCAUGUCCACAUCCCAGUUAAUUCCUAACCCUAACCCAGGCUUCAUGUACACAUCCCAGUUAAUUCCUAACCCUAACCCAGGCUUCAUGUCCACAUCCCAGUUCAAACCUAACCCUAACUUCAUGUCCACAUCCCAGUUCAACCCUAACCCAGGCUUCAUGUCCACAUCCCAGUUAAUUCCUAACCCUAACCCAGGCUUCAUGUACACAUCCCAGUUAAUUCCUAACCCUAACCCAGGCUUCAUGUACACAUCCCAGUUAAUUCCUAACCCUAACCCAGGCUUCAUGUACACAUCCCAGUUAAUUCCUAACCCUAACUCAGGCUUCAUGUCCACAUCCCAGUUAAUUCCUAACCCUAACCCAGGCUUCAUGUCCACAUCCCAGUUAAUUCCUAACCCUUACCCAGGCUUCAUGUCCACAUCCCAGUUAAUUCCUAACCCUAACCCAGGCUUCAUGUACACAUCCCAGUUAAUUCCUAACCCUAACCCAGGCUUCAUGUCCACAUCCCAGUUAAUUCCUAACCCUAACCCAGGCUUCAUGUACACAUCCCAGUUAAUUCCUAACCCUAACCCAGGCUUCAUGUCCACAUCCCAGUUCAACCCUAACGCUAGCUUCAUGUCCACAUCCCAGUUAAUUCCUAACCCUAACCCAGGCUUCAUGUACACAUCCCAGUAA